AGCUCACUAGUCGAGUGACACUGCGCCGAAAAUGUACCGGGGCUAAACAUAUUACCGAAGCUGUGGAUUGUCCUUUGGACAAUGGUAGGAGAGCGUUCUAAGGGCGUUGAAGCAUGAUCGUAAGGACAUGUGGAGCGCUUAGAAGUGAGAAUGCCGGUGUGAGUAGCGAAAGACGGGUGAGAAUCCCGUCCACCGAUUGACUAAGGUUUCCAGAGGAAGGCUCGUCCGCUCUGGGUUAGUCGGGUCCUAAGCUGAGGCCGACAGGCGUAGGCGAUGGAUAACAGGUUGAUAUUCCUGUACCACCUAUAAUCGUUUUAAUCGAUGGGGGGACGCAGUAGGAUAGGCGAAGCGUGCGAUUGGAUUGCACGUCUAAGCAGUAAGGCUGAGUAUUAGGCAAAUCCGGUACUCAUUAAGGCUGAGCUGUGAUGGGGAGAAGACAUUGUGUCUUCGAGUCGUUGAUUUCACACUGCCGAGAAAAGCCUCUAGAUAGAAAAUAGGUGCCCGUACCGCAAACCGACACAGGUAGUCAAGAUGAGAAUUCUAAGGUGAGCGAGCGAACUCUCGUUAAGGAACUCGGCAAAAUGACCCCGUAACUUCGGGAGAAGGGGUGCUCUUUAGGGUUAACGCCCAGAAGAGCCGCAGUGAAUAGGCCCAAGCGACUGUUUAUCAAAAACACAGGUCUCUGCUAAACCGUAAGGUGAUGUAUAGGGGCUGACGCCUGCCCGGUGCUGGAAGGUUAAGAGGAGUGGUUAGCUUCUGCGAAGCUACGAAUCGAAGCCCCAGUAAACGGCGGCCGUAACUAUAACGGUCCUAAGGUAGCGAAAUUCCUUGUCGGGUAAGUUCCGACCCGCACGAAAGGCGUAACGAUUUGGGCACUGUCUCAACGAGAGACUCGGUGAAAUCAUAGUACCUGUGAAGAUGCAGGUUACCCGCGACAGGACGGAAAGACCCCGUGGAGCUUUACUGUAGCCUGAUAUUGAAAUUCGGCACAGCUUGUACAGGAUAGGUAGGAGCCUUUGAAACGUGAGCGCUAGCUUACGUGGAGGCGCUGGUGGGAUACUACCCUAGCUGUGUUGGCUUUCUAACCCGCACCACUUAUCGUGGUGGGAGACAGUGUCAGGCGGGCAGUUUGACUGGGGCGGUCGCCUCCUAAAAGGUAACGGAGGCGCUCAAAGGUUCCCUCAGAAUGGUUGGAAAUCAUUCAUAGAGUGUAAAGGCAUAAGGGAGCUUGACUGCGAGACCUACAAGUCGAGCAGGGUCGAAAGACGGACUUAGUGAUCCGGUGGUUCCGCAUGGAAGGGCCAUCGCUCAACGGAUAAAAGCUACCCCGGGGAUAACAGGCUUAUCUCCCCCAAGAGUUCACAUCGACGGGGAGGUUUGGCACCUCGAUGUCGGCUCAUCGCAUCCUGGGGCUGUAGUCGGUCCCAAGGGUUGGGCUGUUCGCCCAUUAAAGCGGUACGCGAGCUGGGUUCAGAACGUCGUGAGACAGUUCGGUCCCUAUCCGUCGUGGGCGUAGGAAAUUUGAGAGGAGCUGUCCUUAGUACGAGAGGACCGGGAUGGACAUACCUCUGGUGUACCAGUUGUCGUGCCAACGGCAUAGCUGGGUAGCUAUGUGUGGACGGGAUAAGUGCUGAAAGCAUCUAAGCAUGAAGCCCCCCUCAAGAUGAGAUUUCCCAACUUCGGUUAUAAGAUCCCUCAAAGAUGAUGAGGUUAAUAGGUUCGAGGUGGAAGCAUGGUGACAUGUGGAGCUGACGAAUACUAA
rnacentral:rRNA from 1 species